UACGAAGGGGGCUAGCGUUGCUCGGAAUUACUGGGCGUAAAGGGCGCGUAGGCGGCACUGUUAGUCAGGCGUGAAAGUCCUGGGCUCAACCUGGGAACUGCGCUUGGUACGGCAGAGCUAGAGGAUGGAAGAGGCUCGCGGAAUUCCCAGUGUAGAGGUGAAAUUCGUAGAUAUUGGGAAGAACACCGGUGGCGAAGGCGGCGAGCUGGUCCAUUACUGACGCUGAGGCGCGACAGCGUGGGGAGCAAACAGG
rnacentral:rRNA from 1 species